UUACCCUCCCCAGACCCCACUUUGUGGGACUAUACUGGGUAGUUGUUGUUGUUGUUUAAAGAAAGAAACUGAAGAAAACCAUCCAAGUGAACCAUUCAGCUGUGCAACCAUUCAGCAACCUUCCACAUGGUCACAUGGAUAAUAAAGUCUGAAAACAUAGAUUUCAGAAUCGACUAUAACUGCAGUUCCAGGAUGCUAGUAGAACGAUGCUACCUAAAUUAAGUAAUCUCAAUAGCUCUUCUUCUUCCAAUAUCAUAGAUUUCUCUAUUUUUUAUGUGAAGCAUGGAAGAUAUUAGAUAUAUCAUGAAAGGAACCAUAUCAUACUCAGCCAGAGGCGGCUCAACGGUAUAGGUUGCCUAAAGCCAAAUCGUAAUAAGAGAUCUUAAACUUAUUUAGUAAUAAACUUCUUAGAUAUUGUUGUUUGGAGUUUACAUUUUUCACUUUUGAGACUCAAAAGAUUAUUUUUUAUAAUCAAUUUCAUAUAAUAUUUUUUUGACAAUGUAACCGAUCUAUUUAACCUUGGUUGAAACACUA
rnacentral:lncRNA from 1 species